rnacentral:lncRNA from 1 species
UUCACUCCCCUCUCUUUCAGAGAUCCAGAGCUCAAUCUUGUGAUUUGGCUCUUUCUUUUGGGUUUUCGUUCUCUGUUUCUCCCUUCUUCUUCUCCAAAGGGGUUCGCCUCUCGAUCCUCUGUUUCUUGGUUUCCAUCCCCUCUGUUCUUUACUCUUUACUCCCUACUCCUCCUCUCUACGCCCUCUUCUCUAUCUUCACCAGGGGAUCGCGAAGUUAAUCGUCGGAUUCGCUUUCUUCCUGGGGUUUCAAAUUUUCUAUCCCCUGUUUUUGGUGUCUUCUCCUCCUCACUCCAUUGAGUGGUUUUCUCUGUUUCCUGGGUUACAUCCCCUGUUUUCCCCUAAUGCCAAUUUUACCCUAAAGCAAGCAUUAAACGCGUGCCGUUAGAAGCGUACAAAGCCGGAAUCGUCUUCACCAUUGGGAUCCAUAUCUUUCACUAGGCAGGACUUAGGAGUAUUGUGGGCGCCUGUUUUGGGACAUAUAUAGCGCACCAAACACCCUCGAGGAUCAUCCCCCGUUUCCAAAGGAUUCCACGCCUCAAUCCCUGUUUCUUUCUGCUCUGUUUCUUCAGCAAUGGAAACUGCAGUCUCCAGUAAUCCCAAUUACAAUCCAGGAAGACACCUCCCUCCUCGACAGAGAGGAGGGAUCAAAAAACAGAUAUUCAAAGACUUUCUUAAAUAUGUUAGUGCCAUCGCGCUUUUACUGGGCCAGAUGGAAGCAAAUCAAGGGGAUAGUGGCGGUCGUCGCCUUAGCUCCGCCUCCGCACCUCUUCCUGAAAUCCCUCCUGGCUACACUUCAGAUCUGAGGCGUUGAUUCAUUAAAUUAGAUUUGGCGAUGGUUGUCUUUUGAUAUAUGCUUGGAUGCCGAGAAAAUUUCACAUGUCAUUCCAAUUUCUCCCUUCCUUCAGUUUGACAGAACUGAGGAAAGGCGAUCGACGAUCGACGAUCGGAAACGUUAUGAUUGGGUACUGUCCUCCAUGCCUGUGUAUAUAAAUCCAGAAAUCUUCUUGUAGAAACUUUGUAUUUUCACUUUGUACAUACUUCGUUAAUAAAGUGGAAUGAAUCAAUCAAUGUAUUAUUGAUUUCUGGACUUCUGUGAUAUGAAAUGCGUCCAUGAAUUUGCAAAUGAAUCCGAAGAUCAUCUAUGCCACCGCCUCCUUCACUCUUCCAAAUUGUUUUCGCUUUAUAAUUGUGCAUAAUUCAGUUUUGAGCUGCCGUUGGUUGCCAAAAUCUCGUAGGGACACUUUCAAUUAUUCACUGAAUCAUCCAUGGUUCUUGCUAUCUCAGAUUGAAUUUUUUUUUCCCUUUUAGGGAAAUGCAUUUAUGUUUCUUAAAUUCUUUUGCAUAUAGGUUAAAGAUUUAUUUAUUUUCAAUUAGAAGUGUAAUGACUCCGAAGUUCCUUCCAAAUAUCUGGAACCCAACUGAAAAUUGCAAUGUUUGGAGAAUAAAACCCCAUCUAACUGGGGGAAUUUUCGUGGAAGAUUAAAAAAUAAAUAAAUUUUUGAAAUUUUUUUAAAUAUAUAUAUAUAAAAUGAAAUCCAAGUUGCGAAAUUCAGCCUUCUAGAAUGAUAUUUCUUUGUUGUUAAGUAAAGUAUAAAAUGGGUUGUAACUGGAUUUUUUUUACUUCGGAAGAUGACGAACAACAUGUGUCAUAAUAAAAAAAGACCCUCUUGUCCUUUGUGGUUGAAUCCUGUUGGGGGCUGAGUUCAGUCCAUCCCAAUCAUAAGUUGUCUUUUUGGGAAAUCCAAAGAAAAUUUAUAACUUUACGUUAAAAGUAAAAAAAUUAAAAACCAACAAUUCUCUUCUCUUUGAAUGUAGGCACUUUAAAUAAGGCUUCUCUGGAGACUUUAAGUUAAUGAAGACAAAGAAUAUAGAAGUUAAAUGAUCAAAGCUAAAUUAAUUUUACAUUCCUACACACCCUACAAACACAAUGGUCACGGCUCAUAAAUUUUUUUUCCCAAAUUGAAGAGUAUAAUAAUUUUUAUAAAAUUUUCCAAGCGAGGGAAUUUGAUUCAAAAAGCGGUGAUUAAUGAAAAAGGAUCAUAUAACAAAAAAAAAAAAAGUCAAUUUAUUAGUGCCUUGAGUAAAAUAUUUCAAUUUGAAGAGAAAACACGUGAGGAAAAAUCACCCACUGGGAAGUUAGGGAGUUAGGGAGUUAGUACCGUAACUGUAAUGAAUUACGGCGGUCCACACAGAAUAUUCUGCCCUCAUGACUCAUCCGAGUUCAUUGUCUCACCAAGUCAGUUGCUUGGAAGCCAAGUUUCCGAGUUCAGCCCACUGCUUGGCCUACAUAUUCUUCUCUUCACUCACCUCUCUUUCAGAGAUCCACAGCUCAAUCUUGUGAUUUUGCUCUUUCUUUUGGGUUUUCGUUCUCCAUUUCUCCCUUCUUCUCCGAAGGGGUUCGCCUCUCGAUCCUCUGUUCUUUACUCUUUACUCCCUACUUCUCCUCUCUACGCCCUCUUCUCUCUCUUCACCGAGGGAUCGCGAAGUUAAUCGUCGGAUUCGCUUUCUUCCUGGGGUUUCAAAAUUUCUAUCCCCUGUUUUUGGUGUCUUCUCCUCCUCACUCCAUUCAGUGGUUUUCUAUGUUUCCUGGGUUUCAUCCCCUGUUUUCCCCUAAUGCCAAUUUUACCCUAAAGCAAGCAUUAAACGCGUGCCGUUAGAAUCGUACAAAGCCAGAAUCGUCUUCACCAUUGGGAUCCAUAUCUUUCACUAGGCAGGACUUAGGAGUAUUGUGGGCGCCUGUUUUGGGAUAUAUAUAGCGCACCAAACACCCUCGAGGAUCAUCCCCCAUUUCCAAAGGAUUCCACGCCUCAAUCCCUGUUUCUUUCUGCUCUGUUUCUUCAGCAAUGGAAACUGCAGUCUCCAGUAAUCCCAAUUACAAUCCAGGAAGACACCUCCCUCCUCAACAGAGAGGAGGGAUCAAAAAACAGAUAUUCAGAGACUUUCUCAAAUAUGUUAGUGCCAUCGCGCUUUUACUGGGCCAGAUGGAAGCAAAUCAAGGGGAUAGUGGCGGCCGUCGCGUUAGCUCCGCCUCCGCACCUCUUCCUGAAAUCCCUACUGGCUACACUUCAGAUCUGAGGCGUUGAUUCGUUAAUUAGAUUUGGCGAUGGCUGUCUUUUGAUAUAUGCUUGGAUGCCGAGAAAAUUUCACAUUUCAUUCCAAUUUCAUUCCAAUUUCUCCCUUCCUUCAGUUUGACAGAACUGAGGAAAGUCGAUCGACGAUCGACGAUCGGAAGCGUUAUGAUUGGGUACUGUCCUCCCCUGUAUAUAAAUCCAGAAAUCUUCUUGUAGAAACUUUGUACUUUCACUUUGUACAUACUUCGUUAAUAAAGUGGAAUGAAUCAAUCAAUGUAUUAUUGAUUUCUGGAUUACUGUGAUAUGAAAUGCGUCCAUGAAUUUGCAAAUGAAUCCGAAGAUCAUCUAUGCCACCGCCUCCUUCACUCUUCCAAAUUGUUUUCGCUUUAUAAUUGUGCAUAAUUCAGUUUUGUGCUGCCGUUGGUUGCCAAAAUCUCGUAGGGACACUUUCAAUUAUGCACUGAAUCAUCCAUGGAAUCCACCAAACCGGCAAUUCCUAUACAUGGUUCUUGCUAUCUCAGAUUGAAAUUUUUUUUUUCCCUUUGAGGGAAAUGCAUUUAUGUUUCUUAAAUUCUUUUGCAUAUAGGUUAAAGAUUUAUUUAUUUUCAAUUAGAAGUGUAAUGACUCCGAAGUUCCUUCCAAGUAUCUGGAACCCAACUGAAAAUUGCAAUGUUUGGAGAAUAAAAUCGCAUCUAACUGGGGGAAUUUUCGUGGAAGAUUAAAAAAUAAAUAAAAUUUUGAAUUUUUUUAAUAUAUGUAUAUAUAUAUAUAUAUAAAAUGAAACCCACGUUGCGAAAUUCAGCCUUCUAGAAUGAUAUUUCUUUGUUGUUAAGUAAAGUAUAAAAUGGGUUGUAACUGGAAAUGUUAUUUUAUUUUAUUUUUAUAGGCGUUACUCAUUUUUAUUUUAUUUUUUUUUACUUCAGAAGAUGACGAACAACAUGUGUCAUAAUAAAAAUACCCUUUUGUCCUUUGUGGUUGAAUCCUGUUGGGGGCUGAGUUCAGUCCAUCCCAAUCAUAAGUUGUCUUUUUGGGAAAUCCAAAGAAAAUUUAAAACUUUAUGUUAAAGUAAAAAAAUUAAAAACCAACAAUUCUCUUCUCUUUGAAUGUCGGCAUUUUAAAUGAGGCUUCUCUCGUGACUUUAAGUUAAUGAAGACAAAGAAUAUAGAAGUUAAAUGAUCAAAGCUAAAUUAAUUUUACAUUCCUACACACCCUACAAAACAAUGGUCACGGCUCUUAAAUUUUUUUUCCCAAAUUGAAGGGUAUAUUAAUUUUUAAAAUUUUUUCCAAGUGAGGGAAUUUGAUUCAAAAAGCGGUGAUUAAUGAAAAAGGAUCAUAUAACAAAAAAAAAAAAAAAAGUCAAUUUAUUAGUGCCUUGAGUAAAAUAUUUAAAUUUGAAGAGAAAACACGUGAGGAAAAAUCACCCACUGGCAGUUAGGGAGUUAGUACUGUAACUGUAAUGAAUUACGGCGGUCACACAGAAUAUUCUGCCCUCAUCCGAGUUCAUUGUCUCACCAACUCAGCUGCUUGGAAGCCAAGUUUCUGAGUUCAGCCCCACUGCUUGACCUAUAUAUUCUUCUCUUCACUCACCUCUCUUUCAGAGAUCCAGAGCUCAAUCUUGUGAUUUUGCUCUUUCUUUUGGGUUUUCGUUCUCUAUUUCUCCCUUCUUCUUCUCCGAAGGGGUUCGCCUCUCGAUCCUCUGUUUCUUGGUUUCCAUCCCUCUGUUCUUUACUCUUUACUCCCUACUCCUCCUCUCUACGCCCUCUUCUUUCUCUUCACCGAGGGAUCGCGAAUUUAAUCGUCGGAUUCGCUUUCUUCCUGGGGUUUCAAAAUUUCUAUCCCCUGUUUUUGGUGUCUUCUCCCUACUCCAUUCAGUGGUUUUCUCUGUUUCCUGGGUUCCAUCCCCUGUUUUCCCCUAUCUUUUAUUUAGCUUCGAAACUGUUCAAACCCAUCUCCUGCAAAUGGAUACUCCAGUGUCUAUUUCCAAAGACAGACCAGAACGACGCUUCCCUCCACCUAGAGGACGAGUCAAAAAAGAAAUUUUCAAAAGCCUGGUGAAAUCUUUCGGCACAGUUGCAGGAAGGGCGAGUGGGGCGAUAAGGAAGCGAGAAGAAAAUGGUGGUCGGCUCAGCUCGACCUCCACUACUCCCGCUGAAACUCCCAGUGGAUACAGCUCAGAUGGGUAGUCUUGAUCCACUGAAUUCAUAUUUCUCAACUCCCCUGUACAGUUGGUGAACGCUGACCUGCGAUGCUAUUUGGAUUCCUAGAAAGUGUUUCAUUUUUUCAUUUUCUUGUUCCUUUUCUUUCGAUGGAAAGAGAAGAGGCGUUGAAGAUUGGAAUUCUCUGUUGAUUGUUGUAAUAUAAAAAUAAAAUCAUGAGCCCAGAGAUGUUCUCAUCUGUAAACAUAUGAUUCUGGUGUUCCGAGCCUGUGUCAUUUUAGCAAAUUUUGGAACAAUAUUAAUUCAUGGAAAUGUGACGAGAAUGAUGAUUUGUUCUCCCAGUUUUCUCAAACACUUGCUACAUUUUUUUUUUUCUCAGAUUCUCUGUUCUUCAUUGAAAGCAGAGGAAAAUAAGUUCAUAUCUACUAGGAUAGAUCUUGAAGAUAAUGCAUAUAAUUCAGAUCAUGGGGUCUGUUUGGAUCGGAUGAUUUUCGAUUCUCUUGAAAAUUUGAACUCCUAAAUCGCCAAUCUCCCUACAGCAACAUUUGGUUUAAGUUCUCUGUUUAAGUCAAUACAAGAACAAUAUUUUGCUAUUCGGUCAGGUAUUUUAAAACCUAUUUGAUUUGAUUUGUAUACGCCUUUUGGAAGGUCCCUUUCCUUCAUUCUUAUACACAAUCUUUUAUUAGGUUCUAAUAAUUAAAAUAAUUUGAUUAUGAUUAAUUUAAGCAUGGAAGUUAGGGUUAUGAAAAAAGAUAAUGUAUUUUAAGUUUCAAGAAUGGGCAUCAUUAAGAAAAUAACAAAGAGAGUGAGUCAGUUGAGGGCGGCCCAGCCGAGGGUGGCCCAGCCUUUUGGGCACAGGUUACCAUGCAAUACUAGGCUGGGGACGCCUGCAGUGAAUAAAUUAUAUCAUCUCAGUCCCAUGUGACUUCAACACGGUCUCCCUCAAGACUCUCAAUAAGUCAUCCUUACGUGAAUUUGUUAGUUGAAUAAUUUGAGAAAAAAAAUAUUAAAAAAAAAGGAGAAAAAUAGGGGGAAAUAAAAUAUAUAUAUUUAAGUCAUCCUUACAUAUUUAUUUUUUAUUUUUUAAAAAUAAAUAUGUAUGAACGGUCAUAUCAUAGCCUCUUGUAACUCAAUAAGUUGUUGGUAACAAUUCUUGUAAUAAUUAUAGUAGGC